AUAAAUUUGCAUAAGUUGCAUUUUACUAAAUUUUGGCACUCACAAAGCCUUGCAUAUAAAUGUAAUCAAUUAACCAUCUAGAAUAUGUUAAUUAAGGCAUUAUUACAUGCUACAUGUGUUAUGAAUAAAGUUUAAUUAAUAGUUAAUAAAUUGUUUACAAGUUAGCAUUUUAUUGUACAAAUAACAAAACCUUACUAAACUCCUAACAUGUGGGGAAAACCCUCCAACGUCUGCAGAGCUAUGAUUAAAACCCUUAAAUUCUCUGACAUUAACUGAUGAACUAAUUGGUUCCCCAAACUUUAGAGUCGACUCCCUUUUCAAUUCCGAUUCCUAGAAUCGAUUCCACACUGCGCGUUUUCUUGAUCACUGAAACACAAGACAGCGAUGUAAUCCUCAUAAUAUAAACCAGCUCUUUCUCAUGUGCACAUUACUGUCUCUGGCAGCACGAAUAACACACGAUCUGUCACGCCAUGAGAAUAGUAUAAAGUACUUCCAGGCUUAUGCCACUGCUUUCGAAUCCGAGUCAAAUCAAACUAAAUGUCUAACCUUUACCUGAACAGUGAAAAGAUGUAUCAUCUACUAAUGUUAUAUAUCUGUCUCCUAUAUCUCUUGCACCAGAUUCUAUGUUACACACAUUUACACACUAGUUACAUGUAUAUGCUGUACGUUUAAAUAAAGAGUUGACUCUUUUCUGAUUUGUGAAUCGACUCCCAGAUCUAGUCAUAACAGCUUCAAUCUGUGUUACUCUUCAUCACCACAUGUGGGGGCCCGAGCACCACACACAACACACACACCAACACACACACACACACCAACACACAAACACAUGCACACACACACGCACACACACACACACACACACACAAACACACGCGCACACACACACAAAGUUAUUUAGAAAGUUUACAAUCGAAUGAAUCCAUUAAAAGUCUAAAAUAAACAAUCGCCUCAAUAAAAACCUCAUGUAUUGUAAUGCUUGUGGUUAAUUUUGUAUCGGUUGAUUUUUAGGCAGCAUACACCCACUGUGUUUUAGUGAUGUUGAAUUUUGGCUCAUUUGUUCCAGCAUACAGCGACCGCAGCGUGCGCGCGCUCCAGCGCUCUGAGUCUGUCAGCUGCGCGCGACACACACACGGAGAUAGAGAGAGGGGGGGUGCUAGGCUAACGGUGUAGCUCAUGUAGCUGUAAACAGUUACACUCCGCCUUACCAGCCGAGUUUAAUGAAACACCUUCCCCAGGAUGGAGGCGAGAAGAUUAAAUAAACACACCGCAAAGUCAUGAGGAUGUUUACAAACGUGAACAUUUCCAAAAAAAACAAAACAAACAAGUUUUGCGACAGGACUAAGCACUUUAGUUAGCUAGCUCACGCGCUAGUUUAGAGUGUUGGAGCUAGUGACGACGUAUCGUCUAAGCUAAGCUAUCUUACUGCAUGGAAAGUAGCUCCGGGUUCACCUUUAGCACCUAGCAUGGAUUAAUUACCUCGUUAUCCACGAGUACAAUAUUAAAGAAGGAGUUUAACAGUCAGGGUUGUUGUUUUUUCCCCUGUUUCUGGGUCGGAAACUUGACUGAGUCCAAAAAGCGCUGACACUGGAGACUCCUUCCAUGAAUGUUAAAUAAAUCUCCUAACUUGAAGAAAACCUCAGCGAUUCACAGUGCAUCUGCCGUACAUGUCCCUGUGAAUGAUCCGUUGCUAUAGAAACGCUAACGUAUUAGGACGAGUGCAUUAAUAUAAACCUGCACCGCUGUCAGAGCUGCUGUUGUAGCAAACCUCACAUCUGACCGAUCAGAUCAGAGAGUUCGAGUAAACUCACCAACUUCACUGGAGACUGUUUGUAGCUGAGAACAGGGACUAAUUUAAAUGUAACUGGAAAUGGGUAAAAAUUCUAAAGUGUUGUUUUAUAUAUAAAUAUAUUUACUCCAGUAGAGUGUCCUCUAGGGGAGGGUUUUCUCUCUCUCCCGUCAAUCACUGCGACCCAAGCCAGUCGUGAGUGUCUGUGAGCUCGUGUAUGAGGAAGAGGGCGGUUCGCUAGUUUCAUGUGUCGCAGAGGAAUCACGUGAUCGCCUUCACCCUCCCUGCUAGUAUCUGUUCUGUGAUAGGGAGAGAGCUGGGUAGUGGGCGGAGCCUGGUGACCAGACUAUAUUGCGGAUGACAACGUAAUUACAGUUAAACGAACUCUCUAAGUUGCAAUUAUAAUCUCAUCCACCCUGAGUGCGACCCAUCCUGAAGUGUCUUAUUCCUCUUAUACCACAGUACUUUAUCCUUACUGUUUACCGUGUCAUGCUUUUUAUCCAUUUAUAGCUACAUUUAACUCGUUCCUGUUCUCGCUUACGUUAUAGCAGCUGUAAACAGCAGUUUAUCACCUCUGAAAGAAGAGGAAAAGAACGCAGCGUAAACUCCUCUGACUUUAAAGGUAGUUACGGGUUUACCUCCCUCACUGGACACUCCUUCUCCUUCCAGAAAACUUCAUCACAUCCGUAAUGAGUGUAUGGGCCAUGGUGACGAGUGUGUGGGGCGUGGUGACGAGUGUGUGGGGCGUGGUGACGAGUGUAUGCGCCGUGCUGACUAGUGUAUGGGCCGUGGUGAUGUUUAUGGGGCGUGGUGACAAGUGUAUGCGCCGUGCUGACGAGUGUAUGGGCCGUGGUAAUGUUUAUGGGGCGUGGUGACGAGUGUAUGGGCCGUGGUGAUGUUUAUGGGGCGUGGUUAUGAAUGUAUAGGCCGUGGUGAUGUUUAUGGGGCGUGGUUAUGAAUGUAUAGGCCGUGGUGAUGUUUAUGGGGCGUGGUGGAGAGUGUAUAGGCGUGGUGAUGAGUGUAUGCUCCGUGGUGACGAGUGUAUGGGUAUGUAUAUGGGUGAUGAGUGUUUGGGAUGUAUCCGGGUCAGGGUCGCCCCCCCCCCCCAGUUAAAUGGAGAAAAUCUUUCGUUUGUUGAUCCAAACAAUGCUCGAGUUCCUUUGUGUCUGUGAUCGAUUGUGUUUAGAUAUAUUUAGAUAAAGUGCUGAAACAAAAAGGCUCCGUCUCAUCUUUGUGGAUAGAACAGACCCACCCUUUCUGUUUUAUAAAGAACUGCAGAGAAAAUCCGCAUCGUGUCUGAAAAGCAGGGCUUGUUUUAUCUGCUUAAUUUGCACCAAUUUUAGUUUAAUCGUGUUUAAGGGCUAAAUGAAACCUCGCAGUCGCCCACUCCUAACUUUAUUCUUGCAAAACAACAACAAAAAGCAUAUAAGAUUAAUCUUUGCUGCUCCACAACAUCGCAUGGAGCUCUCAGAGUAUGUGUUGCUGAAGAAGGCAUUUAGUUCAUUAGUGUAAAAUAAUUAGAUGGCUCAUAAGGACUCGUACUGUAUGUGACUCAGCACUUAACAGCAAUUAGAUAUUUAUGUAGACUCUAGAUAUUUCUACGUUUUUUCUCAUGUGUUUUUGAAGGUUUGUUUCAUUUCCUGCCCGACACUCUCCUGACCUCGAUCUGCCGUCACGAGAGACAGAAAUGUGACUGCGAAGGGAAAAUGAGACGUGUUUUUUCAUUUUACUCUUCACCACAACUCACCCCGCUCCCCCUCCAUCCAAACCCUUGAUUUUCUUGGCAGUUACGACUUUGUGACCCUGAAACGUACCGUUUUAUACACACCGUUUCACUCCACACACUGCAACGCCUGCUCUUUUCCACCUGGAUAUUACACAACAUGUUCACUUCACUUCUUCUCUUAUAAGGUUGUUAAAUGGCACCGGGGGGAGGCGGCGAGACAAACAUUAAAUCAGAAAUACGGUGGAAAUGAAGGAUUCAAGUAAAAUUAAACGUCGGUAUGAUUUGCGUGUUUUCCUCCUCUUACACGGUCACGAGGUGGUGGGGGUAUUUUGUGUCCGCGCGUCACUUUGAGAUUCUCGUAAGUGGAGAAUCUCCAUGACGAUUGGUUGAAUGUUUGUAGGAUAUUUAUAUGGAAUUAACAUUGUAACCAGCCGAUUAGAGACUGAUUAAAUCAAGGUCACUGCAAGGUCAAAUUCCAUACGCUUCCUUCCUGUUUGAUGUGUGUUUUAUGAUGGUUAACGACAAGAAGCACCAUGGCGGGGACAUCGGGUUCUACUUGCGUGUUCGCACUUUAACCGAGGUACGUGUUUGAUUUUGAAAUCGGCGUAUAUGUACAGUAAAGUGCAGAUUUGUUUGUAUUUAGUAAACAAAAGUCGCCCUCUUCCGCAUGCAUGACCUCACAGACUCUCAUGAUUGGCUCAGUGAGGAGAGAGAGAUUCACAGUCGUAUGUGUUGAGCACGGUCUCAUAGUGCUGGGCGAUAAAUCAAUAUAAUAUCGUGAUCAGGAUUACGUGAUACACCCGUCCGAGAUAUCGUUGGUAUGGUGACGUGUUUUAUAAGUUGUGUUUUUUUGUUGUUUAUUUUGCUACAGUUCUGCAGACAUUUUUCUAGCUAACACGGUAUACUGUGAUACGCAGCGUGAAUCGUAAUCUGUCCAAACGUCAAGUAUCGUGACAUGACCUUUUUGUCACUUCUCCCAGCUCUACAGUCUCCUAGUCUGAUUUAAAAAAUGGGACGACUUUUCAUCUAACGGUGCUUGUGGUGUUAUUAAAGUAAUAUUUAUGUAAUAUAAGUUCUUCCUCACGAUCUGGAAGACUUCUAACUUGUUCAUCGUGCCAAAUCGUCUCACUGUAAAGGGGGGCAAGAGGAAAAUAAAACUUUUUCUUGGUUGCUUAGCAAUCCUGAGAGUUACUUAAUGAUCUUCCUUUAUUUUCUUUUUUUUUUUAAUCACAUUUUCCCUCUGAGAAACCUGCCACGUUUUACAUCAUUAAAAUAAACGCAGCACUCCUACAUACACGCCGACCCCGUUGUCCCGCUCGACGUUUGCGGUCUAACGGUCCGGGCGACGCAUCCGACGCUCCUUUGAGGGGGAAAAAGCGGCACGAGUAAUAUCCAACGUUGUGUUACUCCAGCAUGUAUUCUUUCUGUCUUCCUAUCGAACGGUGCAGAAAAAGAGCUGCGUAUUAAUUAUAUUCUGGACCUCUUUCUCCAUCCUGACUUCCUGCUUUUGUUCUUGCGCUCUUACACCAGUCAUGAUGUUCACGCUAAAAACUUUUCUGGGGUUUUUUUUCCUCCUUUGCCAUGUUCAUGCAUCUUAACCAAGCCUUAAUGACGGUAAAUUCGGAUUUACUGGUGCGUUUAUAAUACGCGUAAGGAAUAAAACACUGUGUGUGGUGCUGGUAUAGGAAAAUGAUCAACAACAGGGUGGUGUGAUGAAAGAUGUGUGUGUGUGUGUAUGUAUGU
ensembl:lncRNA